rnacentral:rRNA from 1 species
AUGAGUGCAGAACUUCGUCUCUGGAGAUCCAUGUCGAAACAAACAUUCAAUCGUCUCUUGCAGAAUGACAAGGCCGGGGAAGAAUACCUUCAGAUGAGGCUGACAACGGAAGGGAGGAAACUUGUGCAGAUCUCGAACCAGCAGGUAACGGAGAUAAAGCUUUUGGAACGUCCACUCAUCUCUGCAUUGAUGAGAGAUUCAGGAUUGCGUCUGAGGGCAUCUCCAACGCUAGGCGCUAAGAGAGGGCGCCAGGAAAAUGGUCCUAGUCGAUUGGCAGUUACGGCAUCGAUUCCUUGCAUCGGGCGCCGCAGCGACGCAAAACAAGGCAUCAAGCGCUAG